GGUAGGCUGGUGAGCGCUGGUUCGACCCGCGGAAGUGGGCCGUCGCAAGAGGGAAUCCGGUGUGAAUCCGGAACUGUCCCGCAGCGGUAUAUGGGAACGACAUCACCCGUCCGGCAUGCGAGGGAUCGCACGCCACACGUGGAGCAUUACUGCCCCACCGGACGAGAAGCACUGGGCCUGGGCCUGGGAAGCGGUGGUCGAGGAAGGCGCCGAGAGGCGAAGUGCCCAUGAGUCCGAAGACCUGCCAGCAGCGUUGCACCAGC
rnacentral:ncRNA from 2 species